rnacentral:rRNA from 1 species
UACGAAGGAUGCAAGCGUUAUCCGGAUUUAUUGGGUUUAAAGGGAGCGUAGGCGGUCUUAUAAGUCAGUGGUGAAAUCUCGUUGCUUAACAACGACCGUACCAUUGAUACUGUAGGACUUGAGUACAGUUGCCGUUGGCGGAAUGUGUCAUGUAGCGGUGAAAUGCAUAGAUAUGACACAGAACACCGAUUGCGAAGGCAGCUGACGAAACUGUAACUGACGCUGAGGCUCGAAAGCGUGGGGAUCAAACAGG